rnacentral:rRNA from 1 species
AUUGAACGCUGGCGGCAUGCCUUACACAUGCAAGUCGAACGGCAGCACGGGAGCAAUCCUGGUGGCGAGUGGCGAACGGGUGAGUAAUAUAUCGGAACGUGCCCAGUCGUGGGGAUAACGUAGCGAAAGCUACGCUAAUACCGCAUACGAUCUAUGGAUGAAAGCGGGGGAUCGCAAGACCUCGCGCGAUUGGAGCGGCCGAUAUCAGAUUAGGUAGUUGGUGAGGUAAAGGCUCACCAAGCCGACGAUCUGUAGCUGGUCUGAGAGGACGACCAGCCACACUGGGACUGAGACACGGCCCAGACUCCUACGGGAGGCAGCAGUGGGGAAUUUUUGGGACAAUGGGCGCAAGCCUGAUCCAGCAAUGCCGCGUGCAGGAUGAAGGCCUUC